ensembl:lncRNA
CUGAUGUCUGUCCUCUUAGACCGUAUAUUUUCAGGGGCCAGCGGGCUAGUGAUGAUGCCUGUGUAAGUCACCACUGUAUCCCCAUCACCUAACACAGCUGUGGUUCAUAAUAAAUCCUCAACUGAAACACACUGAAUAAAUGUGCUGAAAGAGGAGCAAGAGAGAUAGGAGGAGAACCAAAAUUGUACAGUGCAGUCAGGGCAGAUUUCUCAAGCAGAACAGGGCACUGGUACUGUCCAGGGCUGCAGCUGAACAUGGCAGACUGAAGGCAAAGGAAAAUGAAGAAUCCAAGGGCCUAGAUUGUCAUGGCUUUAGUAACCCAAUUUAAGUACAGUGAUGAGGGAGAGAGACAAGGUGGUGAGGCCUGACAGCGAGGGAUGAAAUAGAGCGUGGGGAGGCGAGAAACAGAAUCGGCUAGUGUAGACUACUCUCCAGGGAGACAAAAUUAAGACGAGAGGGGGAAUGGAGGCUGGAAUUCUUAGCAGAGUCGCAAGAAGGAAUCUGGGGGACAUGGAAACAACCUAGAUGUCCAUCAACAGAUGAAUGGAUAAAGAAGUUGUGGUAGAUACAAAGGAUGGACUAUACUCAGCAUAAAAUGGAAUAUACUCAGCAUAAAAAGGAAUGCAUCUGAGUCAGUGCUAAUGAGGUGGAAGAAGAUAUAGCCUAUUACACAUGGUGAAUGUUCUUGCCUGGAGAAUCCCAGGGACGGUGGAGCCUGGUGAGCUGCCAUCUAUGGGGUUGCACAGAGCCGGACACAACUGAAGCGACUUAGCAGCAGCAGCAGCAGCAACUAUGUUUCUAGCGCUGGCCUGGGUGAUGGAUGUGCAGGGGUGAACAAAACAGAGGCACUACGCUUCAGUUUGUUAGGGAAAUCACCUUUACUGUGCUAAAGCACACACACAGAGGAGAAGACAUAUAAAACUGCAGUACCUAUGAGAAUCACCUGGACGGCUUGUUAAACCAUCGGUGGCAGGAAGCU